UACGUAGGGUGCGAGCGUUAAUCGGAAUUACUGGGCGUAAAGCGUGCGCAGGCGGUUCGCCAAGUCAGGUGUGAAAUCCCCGGGCUUAACCUGGGAAUUGCGCUUGAAACUAGCGGGCUUGAGUGUGGCAGAGGGGGGUGGAAUUCCACGUGUAGCAGUGAAAUGCGUAGAGAUGUGGAGGAACACCGGUGGCGAAGGCGGCGACCUGGUCCUUGACUGACGCUGAGGCGCGAAAGCGUGGGGAGCAAACAGG
rnacentral:rRNA from 1 species